rnacentral:rRNA from 1 species
GUGGGGAAUAUUGGGCAAUGGGCGAAAGCCUGACCCAGCAACGCCGCGUGAAGGAAGAAGGUCUUCGGAUCGUAAACUUCUAUCCUUGGUGAAGAUAAUGACGGUAGCCGAGAAGGAAGCCCCGGCUAACUACGUGCCAGCAGCCGCGGUAAUACGUAGGGGGCAAGCGUUGUCCGGAAUGAUUGGGCGUAAAGGGCGCGUCGGCGGCCUGGUCAGUCUGGAGUGAAAGUCCUGCUUUUAAGGUGGGAAUUGCUUUGGAUACUGUCGGGCUUGAGUGCAGGGAGGGUAAGUGGAAUUCCCGGUGUAGCGGUUAAAAGCGUAAAGAUCGGGAGGAACACCAGUGGCGAAGGCGACUUACUGGACUGUAACUGACGCUGAGGCGCGAAAGUGUGGGGAGCAAACAGGAUUAGAAACCCUGGGAGUCC